GUGAAGAACGUAGCGAAAUGCGAUAAGUAAUGUGAAUUGCAGAAUUCAGUGAAUCAUCGAAUCUUUGAACGCACAUUGCGCCCUUUGGUAUUCCAAAGGGCAUGCCUGUUCGAGCGUCAUUUGUACCCUCAAGCUUUGCUUGGUGUUGGGCGUCUUGUCUCUAGCUUUGCUGGAGACUCGCCUUAAAGUAAUUGGCAGCCGGCCUACUGGUUUCGGAGCGCAGCACAAGUCGCACUCUCUAUCAGCAAAGGUCUAGCAUCCAUUAAGCCUUUUUUUCAACUUUUGACCUCGGAUCAGGUAGGGAUACCCGCUGAACUUAAGCAUAUCAAUAAGCGGAGGA
rnacentral:misc_RNA from 1 species